GCUCUGGUGGCCUAGUGGUUAAAACAUCCACCUCGGAUGCAGGAGGUCACAGGUUAGAACCCUGGCCAUGUCA